rnacentral:rRNA from 4 species
GGGUGAACCUGCGGAAGGAUCAUUG